CAGGACUCUGGGAUCACGACCUGAGCCGAAGGCAGACGCUGAACGACUGAGCCACCCAGGCGCCCCAGGGUGGAGAUUUCUUAUGUGUAGCCCUAAUUCUCCUUCACGGCUAUUUGAUUCUAUUACUUCGAAACCAGGCAGAUGAAACAAUGAGUAUAUCCGUAUAAACCUUGGCGUUUCUUUGUAAUCCUUGCGAACAUCACUGUUCUCUGGUGUGUGGUUUCUGAGGCUUUGGGGCUGAAUGUGAAGGGGGGCAGGACUCACCGUGUGCCCAGCUCUGCUCCUGCUGCUCAGCCUGACUUCGGGCUGCUCCGAUCCCUAGUACUGUGACCUCCUCAGGAUCACAGACUUGCGUGUGUCCCCCGAGGUUCCGCUAAUAAGGUAACAAAAUGAACCACUUCCUUCUUGCAGAUGGAUUUCUGGGACGGAAUAUAUUAUGCUGGCCUGAAAUAAAUGAAAGGCUUGAGUUACUGUGGUAUCUUUAGUACUAGGGUCAUCUCUGGGUGGUGGGGAUCAGAGCUUCCCCCCGCCAUGAAAUAUUUUUUUCCUAUAAUGUGCAUAUACUGCUUUAAAGUGAAGCAAGUCUUUGUUUUUUAAAUAAACAGCUGUUAUGCCAACA